AUGACCGUGACGCUCGAGGAUGUCUCGUUGAUCACCGGUCUUGCUAUCGACGGGAGGCCUCUAUGUAUGAGCACCGAUUCUGAUGGGUGGCGCGAGCAGAUGAUUGCUCUUAUCGGUAUGGCUCCUACCGAGGCUGAGGAUGAUGUAGAGGACGGAGAAGAGAAGAAGAAGAGGGAAAGGAAGGCAGCCGGAGCUGCUUUCACGUGGAUUCAAAAUAACUUUGCGACGUGCCCUCCGGAUGCAACUGAUGAUGUGAUCCAGACACAUGCUCGUGUGUAUAUGUGGUACAUUGUGUCGAGGACUUUGUUUCCUGACUCCAAUGGCAAGAACGCUCCAUGGAUGUGGCUGAAGGCGUUGACCGUCUUCGAUAGCAAAUGGAGCUGGGGUUCAGCGACUCUUGCCUACUUGUACCGACAGGUAGUUGGUCUGUUUUGUGAUCAACUCAUUUAUUCAUUAGCAAUGCAAGCUUGCUGUCAAGUUAACAUUGUUUUUCUUUUAUAUGUAGCUGGAUGA
rnacentral:rRNA from 1 species